AUGUUACUCACCCCGAAGGCGGCGCGGCCGACAGCGAGGUCCGGCGGCGGCCCCGUGCUGAAACCGCCCGCGCUAACUGACGGACAAUUCAAAUCCCAACAUCCGCCAGCGUACCGGAAGUCUGGAGCCCGCCUCUCGCCCCGCCCACCAUCCCAUCCAUUGCACCGGCUCUCGGCCGCCUUCACUGGGUCGGCGGGAGGAGAUUCGAGAUCUCGGGAAUCGGCUCUCGGCUGGGUCUGCCCCGGGAGGGCUGGCGGUAGAGGCGGAGCCCCGCAGCCCCGCGCUCCGCCCACUCUCGGGAGGCGUACGCAGCGGGCACUGCGCGCUCGGCGUCUGCCUCUUUCUGUCCCUGCGAUGCAAAGCGUAGAAUCACUACAGACUUUACAUGCAGGCCUUGCAGACUGUAGAAACAGGCAGUCUCCUGAAAGCCUAUUCUGGAGUAGAUUUACAGAAUCAUGGAAUCGUUUGAGUUGAAUCUCAGCCAUCUCAUCCAACUGCCCUGCAACGAACAGGGGCACCUACAGCUUCAUCAGGUGCUCAGAGCACUCCAUCCUGACCCUGAGUGUCUCCAGGGACAGGCUGUCUACCACCUGUGGGAAAGCUGUUCCAGCACCUCACCACCCCUAUUGUAAAAAACAUCUUCCUUAUAUCCAGGCUAAAUUUCCUCUCUUUCAUUUUGAGACCAUUUCCCCUUGUCCUAUCACAAAAGACACUGCUAAAAAGUCUGUCCCUAUUGUUCUUAUAUCAUUUAGUCUUACUUAAGGAAACAGGAUUUGUUUGUUUGUUUUUCCCUGAGAAAUUCACUUCAAGAAGAAAAUACUAUUCUAUGUAUCCUACCUGUAAGGCUGGAGUGCUGAUUUGUUUUUCCUAUACUUGAUAGGAAGCUUGCACAGACAAUUAUAUUUGUGAUAGUAAAAUGGAAUUUUUGAAAUAAUAAAGUUUUGUAUUUAAUUUUUACAUAAAUUCUUUGUUGUUUGAAUGCUGCUGUCACAGAACAGACGCACACGCUGUUGACCGCAGUGAACACAUCAACUGUUAGCUCACGCAGUAAUGGAAACAGUGACUUCACAGGGGGCACAUACAUACAAUACACGCUGCAGCUGCACAGAUGUGACCAACAGAUGUGGCCUGAUCCUUUUCUUAAACAGUGGCUAAUUAGACUUAAAGCA
rnacentral:lncRNA from 1 species